GGCUGGAUGAGUUUGAUCCAUUCUUCUCUGCCUGGAAGAAUCAUUGAAAGAAACCUCAGGGAUGAGAGGAGCCAACUCCUCAUUCUGCAGACAAGGAAGCUAGGAUUUAUUUCCACAUUACUUACAACAAAACAGAAAAGUAUCUGUAUCGCAAGUGGAAAAACAUCUACCCUCUGGAUCAGGAGUUUUGGCAGACACCUCAAAUCCAAAUCAUAACCACGCCUUUUGGGAAACCAGUCAACACAGCUGCAGAAGAAACACUUGCUAGCUACCCACACUGACUACUGUAUAAAUGGACAACAACGGAUGAAUACUAGGUCUUUGAGGAAAAUCAACAGUAUGUAAAAGAGAAGCACCUAGAACUGCUUUGAGGAAAAAGAGGCAAUUUAAGAAACAGAAGAGGAAAAAAAAUCCCUGAGGUAAGAGCACUCAUUAAAGCAACAAUAAAAACAGACUGCUCUGAAAACCUUAGAACCAGAGAACAAGAAAUAAUUAUAUAAAGUUUAAAGCCUGAAAUGAAAAGUUCAACAAGAAGUCUGAACAACAGAAUAGGCCAAAUGAAUGAUCUGGAAGACGAGGCCCAGGAAAUCUAUCAGAAUUUGGAGCAAAACUACAAGGAGAUGAAACAUACGAGGAAGAGUUAAUAUAAAAAGGAUUAAUCCAUGGAGGCCAAAACACCAAUUGAACAGGAAUUCCAGAGCCAGAGAACAGAGACAGAGGCAGGAAGGAAAUAAUAGGAAAAAAUAUUUCUUUAAGCUUAUAGAGAGACAAGAACCAUGUAUCUUAAAGGAGCCACUGAAAGCCAGUGGAACUAAUGUAAAAAGAUCCACACCAGAAAAUUCUGGUGAAAUGAACAGGUUCCAAGAAUAAAAAAUGAAAUCUGAAAAAUUCCCAGAGAGAAAAAGAAGUCUUAUCUACUAUAUUGGACAACAGAAGUUAUAGUUCUACAUUUCAUGUUUGCUUUUCUUUCUUCAUUCUCUCAGUAAGAGCAACUUCCUUCCUUCCUGCUUUACCUCCUUCCGUCUUUCCUUUCUUCCUCCAUACUUCUUUUCCUUCCUUCCUUUUCAGCUGAAAGUCUUUUCUCUUUCCAUAUCAUUCAGAUAGACAAUCCAGGCCACAGGAAGAAGCUCAGGACCUAAACUUGACUAGAGAAUUCCUCUCUCUAGUUAGAGUGAUUAACUUAGAAUGGGAACAGGAUGCAAAAGAACUCACUCAGAUCCUCCCAGGAUUUUCAGGUGAUAAUGGGGAAGCCAGUCCCUUUCUUGAGAGGUUAUGUGACUACAGGGAUAUUAGCUCUAGCUGCAUGUAGUUAUCUUUCUUGCAGAGAGGAACUUGCUGUUUUAGUGUAGAAUGAACCAAACAUACAGAGAAAAACAAAGUCACAAGAAAUGGAAAAGAGCCCCAAUGACACUGUUUAGACCACUGGAUUCAUCCACACUGGAGGCAAGAUCCGCUUCUUGGCUCCCCAGGUAUGAGUCAAUAAAUUCUUUACUUGACUAAA